UCUCUCUCUCUCUCUCUCUCUCUCUCUCUCUCUCUCUCUCUCUCUCUCUCUCUCUCUCUCUCUCUCUCUCUCUCUCUCUCUCUCUCUCUCUCUCAUGUUAGCCAGUCACCAGUCUAUAAGAAGCUUCGGUAACCUACAUUUUUUCCCCUUAUCACCAUAGCCGGCCUAGUAUGGUGCCCAGUAUCGUUCAUCUUCAUUAUUCAUGGUCGUCAAAGUGCUGGUGAUUUAUUGCUCCCCAGCCCAUGUCAUGCCAGUCAGUCUCCCUCCUAGUGUCCCCCGUAUCCAUUCAAUUAUAGAAGUACAAAUGGGCAGGAGAUGAUAAGCUUUCUGCCCUCCCCCAUCUUCUAUUGACCCUAUAUCCAUGUUACUCUUCCUUCCCUCUUUCUUUUCCUACUGAACCCUUUGACUCUUCCUAUCUCAUCCCUUUUCCCCCUCAUGUCGCUCUUGCCCCCUCUUUCUCUUCCUAUCUCAUCCUUUUUUCUCCACCUGUUCCUGUGUUUCUCUUCCUUCUUUCAUUCGUCAUCUUUUAUCAUGUUUUCCUGUUACUUAUCGACUUCCUACUUAACCCUUUUCCCAUUCUUGCUCCUCUUCCCUCUCCUUUUCCCAUUUUAUCUAUGUUUCAGUAUCUAUUUCUGUUUCCCUUUCUCCUUUCAUAUCGUAUCUCUCCUCUUAUGAUUCCCUGUUACUCUUCGCCAUGUUCCUCCUCCCCCUUCAGCUUCGGCCUCCUUAUCACGCUGGCAGUGUUAUCAGACCCUAUAAGAAGACCUAAGCCGACUAUCUUUUGUUUUUGCCCGGGAUUGAAGGCGCCACAACAGAUCGUAGUCUCAUCAUUUUCCUCUCCCUACCUUACCCCCCCCCCUCUCUCCUCCCUCCUAUACCCUUUUUCUUUUCCUCCUCCUCCUCCUCCUCCUCGUGUGCGUCUCCGUCUUCCUCCAGCAGGAUCACAACUCUUAAUGCGAUUCUGUGGGGGAGGUUCGACCUUUUCGUAUAUUACGCGAGCAGUCCAUUUAGUUAUCAGCAAGAGACCCAACCACUCGCCUUGAUUAACUGGGCCGCGUUGUAGGCAAGACGAGAGCACCGAAGCGGGAUUACGGCAAGGAAGGGAGGAAGGAGGAGGGUGGCGGGGCAAGGGAAGGAAGAAGGAAAACUAGGUGGGGAAAGAUUUAGGGAAGAAGGCGGGAGAGUCAGGCAAGGAAGGGAGGAUGGGUGAGGCAAAGCAAGGAAUAAGGAAAACUAGGAGAGGAGAAGCAAAGAAGGAAAAGUAGGAGAAAGAGGGAAGGGAGGAAGGAAGAGGGUGAGGCAAGGUGAAGAUGGAAAACUUGGAGAAUGAGGGAACCGAGGAGAGGGAAAGAGAAAGGGAGAAGAGUAGGACGAAGACGAGGGAAUCUAGAAGGGUGAAGAAUGAGGGAAGGAGGAGAAUGUAGGACGAGGCAAGGAAAGAACGAAGGAAAACUGCGAGAGAGAGGAGGAAGGGAAUGCAAAAUAGAAGCAGGAAGGGAUAGACAAGAAAUACAUAGAGCUAAGAAGAGGAGGAAGGAGAGAGGAGAGGCAAGACGGAAAAGUUUAAAGUAGUAAAAAAAGGAGCAGAUGGGAAGGAAAAUAAUUAUGGAAAAAAGAUAAGAAAUAAGGAAGGUCUGAAGUUAAAAAGAGAAGAACGGAAAGAGAAGGGAAGUGAAGAAGAAAGCCAAGAGGAAAAUGAGUAAAGGAAGAGAGAGGAGGAGAGGAUGUAGGCAAAAAAAAAACAAAAAAAAAAACGAAAGAUUGCCUGAGGGUAAAGAGGAGGAGGGGAGGAGGGAGAGAGCGGUAGGCAAGGAAGAAGGAAGUCAAGCAGAAGUAUCAUAAAAAAGGAAGAUUGAAGGAAGGGAAGGAGAAUGGAAAAGAAAAAAAAAGAACGAUGCAGUGAAGAAUGAAAUUAGAAGAGGAGCAGAUACGAGAGGAAGGAGAUAGGAAGAAGGAAAUAAGAGAGGUUCAGGGAAGGAUAGAAAAGAGGAUAAGAAGUGACAGAUUGGAGGAAAGAGGAUAGGAAGGAGAAACAUUGAUGGAGGAAAGGAGGGAGAGAAGGAAGAAAGGGUAAGAGUGCGGGAGAGCGUGAGAAAGGAGGGAUGAGAGGAAAGGGAUUGUGUGUGUGUGUGUGUGUGUGUGUGUGUGUGUGUGUCCCAGCUGCCUAAGCCAUCAACCGUCUCAGUUUCUUGAAAUGAGAUUGUGUAAAAAAUUUGUAUAUAUUAUUAUCGUUAUUAUUACUAUUAUUAUUAUGCUGUUUAUUUCCUUGAGUGUAUAGUACCUGUGUUUGUGUGCGUGUGUGUGUGUAAAUUGGUUUCCCUGUCGUGUAGUAGUGUUUGUUUUACCUUCGUGUGUGUGUGGGGGGGGGGGGUGUCUAUUUAUUAUUUAUUAUUUUGGUGAAGGUGUUUGGUGGUGUUGCGUGCUAAUGUGCGUGUGUGUGUGUGUGUGUGUGGUUGGCUCAGAGGCGAGGCGGGGAGGGGUGGUGUUUGUAUCUGUGUGCGCCUGUCUGUUUGUGUGUGUCUUACGCCGCGGCACGAGUGAGAAAGUGGAGUGCUUUUCAUGGGCCCCGGAAUUAAUAGUGUUUGUAAAGCGGCUCUGUGGAGGAUCCUGAGAGAGAGAGAGAGAGAGAGAGAGAGAGAGAGAGAGAGAGAGAGAGAGAGGAAAAGCAAUGAGAGUGAGCUGACCUUGAGAAAUGGGAGUGUGAGCGUAAAGAGAGGAAGGAAAGCGGCUUAUUUGCAGUUACUUAGUGCUGGGACAAAGGAAUGGAAGUUUGUGUGAGGCUGUGUUUUGAAAUGAUUUGUUUUUUAUUGAUUUAUUGACGUUGAAGGCGCAAGACGUAAGACAGCAGCAUGACAUAGACAGCAGAUCAUAAGUUAUUUGCUAUUGCUUUCGGCCGCAAUAACAGCUAGAAAGAAGUAAGGCAAGGCUGUGUUUUGAAAUGAUUUAUUUUUAUUGAUUUGGUGUUGAAGGCGCAGGACAAAGACAGUAGCAUUAGACUAAAGACAGCAGUUCAUAUUUGCCGUUAUUUUCGACAGUAAUUACAUGUCAAAGGAAGGGAAGUUAGGGUGAGGCUGUGUUUUGAAAUGAGUUGUUGUUUUAUUGAUUUAUUGGUGUUGAAGGCGUAAGACAAAGACAGUAGCAUAAGACUAAAGAGUAAAAACAUCAUAAUUUAUUUGCUGUUACUUUCGGCAGCAAUAACUCGAAGCAGCAACAGUUCGAAGGAAGGGAAGUUCGGGGAAGGUUGUGGUCUGAAAUUAUUUAUUUUUGAUUGAUUUAUGGGUGCUGAAGGCGCAAGACAAAGACACCAGCUCAUAUUUGCUGUUACUUUCGGCCGCAAUAACAGCACGUAGAAAGGGAAGUUAGGCUAAGGCUGUGUUUUGAUAUUAAUUGUUUAAAGCAUUCGUGUUUGAAGCAUGGAAUGUAAAAAAAAAAAAAAAAAAAAAAACGUGUUGGCCGUCAAUAAAAAAUGUAAAUUUGAAGUAUUGAAAUGUCAUAAUGUCAAGGUUUUAGAAGGGUUUAAUUGAUUUCACUGAUAGGAACACAAGAAAAAGUGUGGGCAGUCAGAUAAUGAUGCAGCUAUUAAGCAUAUGGUCGGAAAUUAGUGUAUUAUAUUUUUCAAGACUAAAUUUAGAGUACACUUCAAUUAACUGCCGCUGAUAAAUUCGUGAUACAAGAAUGAAACGAGAAAAACCAACAUCAUAAUUUGCGUGUGUUGGGACCCGGAUAAUAAAGCUGUUUGUAAGGAAUGGUGUAAAAUUUAUUAAUGUAUUGAAAUAUUGUAAAGAGAUUUAGAGGAGGCUUAAAAUGGUGUAAAAUUUAUUAAUGUAUUGAAAUAUUGUCGGAGCCAUGAAACAAAAAUCAACAUCAUAAUUUGUGUGUGUUGGGAGUAAGAUAAUAAAGCUGUUUUAAGAAGAGUUAAAAAUUGAAUUGAAAUAUUUUAAAGACGAGAUUUAGAGGAGGCUUAAUGAAGAAUGAUGUAAAAUUGAAAUGUUACAAGUUCUAAAAUUUGAGGAGGCUUCACAUUACUCCCACUGAUUAAAAGAAGCAUGAAGCAACAAAACCCACUUGCUAAUUUGUGUUCAGGCAAUCGGACAAUAAUUGGGUUAGUAAAGAAUGAUGCGAAAUUGGUAUGUUACAAGUUCCAAAAUUUGAGGAGGCUUCACAUUACUUCCACUGAUUAAAAGAAGCAUGAAACAACAAAACUCACUUAAUAAUCUGUGUUUAGGUAGUCGGACAAUAAUUGGGUUAGUAAAGAAUGAUGAUAAAUUGAAAGUUACAAGUUCUAAAGUUUGAGGAGCCUUCACUUAACUCCAGCUGAUUACUAUACGCAUGAAACAGCAAAAAUCACUUCAUAAUUUGUGUUUAGGGAGUCAGAUAAAAUGCUGUGAUAAAAGAAAUGUAGCAAAACUAAAAUAUAUUGAAAAGUAAAGUCUUCUAGGAUGCUCCAGACAACUUUCCCCAGAUAAAUUCCUGCCAGAACCACGAAGCUAAACAAAAAUAGAAAAAAAAACCACUUUGCGUGUUGGCCGUCAGAGAAUAAUGCCGUAAUUAGAGACGGUAGUAAAACAUGAUAGGAACCAAGGUGGGGGUGAGUGACUGUUCCGAGAAGGCUAGAACACAGUGUUACGAGGGAAUAUCAGCGUUAAUGGAACCCGAGAUGACCAAUGGGGACGGAAAUAGAUCCACUAACCCACCAAUGAGAGAUAAAAUUCAUCCCCUGACAUGUGUUUAUUAACCUAACGCGCCCAUCCAUCUCCUCCACACGUCUUAACCUCUAUGUCCCUCUCCCUCUCUCCUCCCCUAACUCCUUUCCUUCCUCCCUCUAUCCCUUCCUUCCUGUUCUGUUAAUAAUUAUACAUUUUUUUCUCCUGCUUAAAUUCUGUCUUACCUGAUAUGCCUUUCAUCCCUCCUUUUUCCUCUCCUCUUCCUCUUCUCUCUCUCCUCCUCCUCUAUCCCUUCCUGUUUUGUUAAUAAUUCUAUAGUUUUUCUCUCCUUUUAUGCCUUUCAUCUUUCCUUUUUCCUCCCUCUCCUCUUCCUCCUCCUCCCCCUCUAUCCCUUCCUGUUCUGUUAAUAGUUAUUCAGUUUUUCUCUCCUGUUUAUGUUCUAUCUUACCUCCAUGUCUCUCCUAUUACUUGCCUUACCUCCCUCCCUCUUCCUCUUCCUCAUCUCUCCCUGUUCUGCUAAUUCUCCAUUCUGUCCUAACAUUCUCUACUCCUCCAAGUCUCUCGCUUCCUACUAUCUCAUCCUGUCCACCUACAUUGUCUCUCCUCUCUCCAUCCUGUCCUCCUCCUCCUCCUCUCUCUUCCUCUCCAUCCCAUCUUGCAUUCCUCCUACUCCUACACGCAUUUAGCCGUUACUCUUCCUCUUGCUCCUUCUACAGUUUAUCUCCCUCUUUCUCUCCCAUCAUCUUCACAUCUAUGCCCUUCACUCUUCCUUAUCUCUCAUCUUCACCUUCUAUCCUCCUCAUGCCCCUCAUUCUCUCUACCUUUAUCAUCACAUCUCACUUCCCUUCUCUAUCCCCCCCUCCCCCAUUCUCCACUCACUUCCUCCUCCUCCCUCUUCUACAUCCGAUCCCUUUCUCCCUUCAUCGUUGCAUCUACUAUCACUCUUAUCCCUCAUCCUCCACUCCCAUCUUCCUCCUGAUCCUCCUAUCCCCUAUCUCUCCCUUUGUCUUUUCUCCCUUUCUCUUUAUUCCCUCCAUCAUCCUCCACUUCCUCCCUUCGUUCACCUGUGCAGUUAUGCGUUUGAGGGAAGCCUUGGGAUUUAAAUAUUACCUUCUAAUUGGCUAAAGUUGUUGAUGGCACGAAUCGGGCGGCGAGUAAUGAGGCUGGAUGGGCUGGGCAGGGUUAAUGAGUGUGUGUGUGUGUGUGUGUGUGUGUAUUCAUUAGCGAGCUUAGCUUUAGUCUAGCUCUGGUCUAGUCUAGUUCUCACGUUUGUAUAUAUAUAAUCAGGGAAAUUGUUGCUACCUUAUUAUUCUCUCUCUCUCUCUCUCUCUCUCUCUCUCUCUCUCUCUCUCUCUCUCUCUCUCUCUCUCUCUCUCUCUGUUUA